rnacentral:rRNA from 1 species
GAUGAACGCUGGCGGCGUGCCUAAUACAUGCAAGUCGAGCGAACAGACGAGGAGCUUGCUCCUCUGACGUUAGCGGCGGACGGGUGAGUAACACGUGGAUAACCUACCUAUAUGACUGGGAUAACUUCGGGAAACCGGAGCUAAUACCGGAUAAUAUAUUGAACCGCAUGGUUCAAUAGUGAAAGACGGUUUUGCUGUCACUUAUAGAUGGAUCCGCGCCGCAUUAGCUAGUUGGUAAGGUAACGGCUUACCAAGGCAACGAUGCGUAGCCGACCUGAGAGGGUGAACGGCCACACUGGAACUGAGACACGGUCCAGACUCCUACGGUAGGCAGCAGUAGGGAAUCUUCCGCAAUGGGCGAAAGCUUGACGGAGCAACGCCGCGUGAGUGAUGAAGGUCUUCGGAUCUUAAAACUCUGUUAUUAGGGAAGAACAAAUGUGUAAGUAACUAUGCACGUCUUGACGGUACCUAAUCAGAAAGCCACGGCUAACUACGUG